rnacentral:lncRNA from 1 species
AAUGACGAGGUGCGGAUAACUGUAAGGUGUCUCCGCGGGUUACCAGCUCUUGGGUCAUGGCAACAAAAGGCGGUGUGGUCGACAAAAGCGAGGCUCUUGCUCCUACGUAUCCUCCAAUGAGGAACUCAGACCUACGUAGUUCUGGAUAACUUGUGAGACUUGAAAAAGUCUCGGUGUUUUCUCCACUAAAACGCAAACAUGCUUUAGCAAAGAGACAAAUAUUCCAACUGAUUAGAGCAUCAUAUGCCUUUUUGAGUGAAAA